ensembl:lncRNA
AUGGCUAAAGCCAGGGUCUCACCUACAAAGGUCAUAAGCAUUCCCAGGUUAGAACUCUCAGCCGCUGUCAUAUCUGCCAGAAUGAGUGUCAUGCUGAAAAAUGAGCUGGAAAUGAAGACUGACCAAGAGUUCUUCUGGACAGACUCGCAGGUCGUUUUAGCAUACAUUAACAACGAAGCCCGUAGGUUUCAUGUUUUUGUCGCAAAUCGAGUGCAGCUGAUACGAGAUGUCACAGAUCCUAGUCAGUGGUGUUACGUAAAUACAACAGAUAACCCUGCUGAUUAUGCAUCUAGAGGGCUUAAUGCGUCUGCCAUCUCUACAUCAAUGUGGUUAUCAGGACCCAAAUUCCUGUGGGAACAGGAAGUAAAUGCAACACCAUACACACCUGUGAACCUGCUUGUCGGUGAUCCUGAAGUUAAAUUAGUCCAAACCUUUGUGACCUCCGUCAGAGACGGAGCAGACAUCCUCAGUCGCUUAAGUCGAUUCUCUUCUUGGUCUAUGCUUCUAAGGGUGGUUGCAAGAAUAAACAGAUUGGGCCACAAACAGAUGUACAACGGUGAUCAUGUGACAGUUGAAGAACGUGAGAGAGCUGCUAAGGUGGUCUUCAAGCUUGUACAGCAGCAAGCAUUCUCAAAGCAAAUGCAAAUAAUUGAAAGAGGAGAAGCUCUACCAAAUUCAAGCGCACUGUACCCUCUGGAUCCUAUUUUGGACAAUGGCAUCCUCCGUGUUGGUGGGAGGCUAAAACACUCAUUUCUCAGUCAAGAUCUAAAACAUCCUGUAAUACUUCCAAAAGGUAACCACAUCACUAAACUAAUUCUGUCACAUUACCACACCAAAGUUCGUCACCAGGGAAGAAGCCAAACUCAAAUGGAGUUAAGAAUGAAUGGAUUCUGGAUCAUUGGAGGCAGUAAGUCCGUCGCUAAAUUCAUACACAAGUGUGUGCAGUGUCGGAAACUCAGACGACCAGCUGAAGAACAGCGUAUGGCAGAACUUCCCAGAGAACGUGUUGAGGUUUCCGCUCCAUUCACGUACUGUGGUAUGGACUGUUUCGGGCCAUUUAUUGUGAAGAGAGCUCGUAAGGAGCUUAAGAGAUAUGGCCUAUUAUUCACUUGUCUAUCAUCUCGUGCAGUCCAUAUUGAAAUGAUUGAGGACCUAUCUACAGACUCCUUUAUCAAUGCCCUAAGGUGCUUUAUCAGCCUCAGAGGAGUUGUUCGCAAACUUCAGUGUGACCACGGCACUAACUUUGUUGGAGCUAAAAAUGAAUUCGCAAAAUCACUGAAAGAGAUUGACACCAACGCCUUAGAGAUCUUUCUUACAGAAAGGCAAUGCGAGUUUAUCUUUAAUGCUCCUUCUGCAAGCCAUGCUGGAGGUGUCUGGGAGUGUCAGAUACGUACUGUGCGAAAUGUACUCAAUGCCACACUUGCUUUAUGCCCAGGCAGGCUUGAUGACGCAUCACUCAGAACGCUGUUCUAUGAAGCAAUGGCCAUUGUAAACAGCCGCCCUCUAACGGUAGAUGGAAUUAAUGAUCCAAAUUCACUCGAACCAUUGACCCCAAACCAUCUGAUAAUGAUGAAAUCUGAUGUUGCUCUUCCACCUCCAGGAAAGUUUGUAAAACAAGAUGUGUAUGCCACUAAAAGAUGGCGCAGAGUUCAAUACCUAAUCGAACAAUUUUGGAGUCGUUGGAAGAAGGAAUACCUUCUCAACAUUGCAGCACGUCAGAAAUGGCAUAUUCCUCGCCGUAACCUUCAAGUGAAUGAUGUUGUAAUCAAAGACGAUAUGCUUCCCAGAGGUCAGUGGCAAUUAGGCCGCGUGGUGGAAACCAGUAAAGGAAGUGAUGGUCUUGUAAGGCGAGUUAAGUUGCAGUUAGGGGAGCGAAAACAAAAUCAAUGCUCCAAGCCCACAGUCAUUGAAAGGCCCAUCCAAAAAUUGGUGGUACUUAUUGAAAAUGAGUAA